rnacentral:rRNA from 1 species
CAGUAGCGUAUAUUAAAGUUGUUGCGGUUAAAAAGCUCGUAGUUGGAUUUCUGCUGAGGACGAUCGGUCCGCCCACUGGGUGAGUAUCUGGCUCGGCCUUGGCAUCUUCUUGGAGAACGUUGCUGCACUUGACUGUGUGGUGCGGUAUCCAGGACUUUUACUUUGAGGAAAUUAGAGUGUUUCAAGCAGGCGCACGCCUUGAAUGCAUUAGCAUGGAAUAAUAAGAUAGGACCUUGGUUCUAUUUUGUUGGUUUCUAGAGCUGAGGUAAUGAUUAAUAGGGAUAGUUGGGGGCAUUCGUAUUUAACUGUCAGGGGUGAAAUUCUUGGAUUUGUUAAAGACGGACUACUGCGAAAGCAUUUGCCAAGGAUGUUUUCAUUGA